UUUUUUUUUUUUUUUCUGUACUCAUCAGAAUGGGAUACUCCACAACUGUCUCACCAACUCAGUGCCAGUACACAUGCUCUAGAGGACUUCUGGACUCGCAGCUACAACUGUACAAGUGCACACAAGUGAAUCUACCCUGUUAUCCUCCACCCACUGAUUGAGGAUUGAAUUGCACAUUUCUCUUAACCAUGACAGGAGAAAGCAAACAGUGAAACAGAAUCAUGGGUGAUCUUUCUCACUUUCCCUCUUGUUUUCAUUGGUUUGUCCAUACCAUUCUAAUUAUCAUGAAAGGGCUCUGCGUAUAGAGAGAUUGUCUCACUGACUUCCUGGAUCACCGAAAACCAUCAGGGUUGAAAUUUCAUCCGAGUCUUUCGUGACGCCCAGCAAAUAUUCCCCCUCGGAUUAUUUUACACCUUGAGGGCAUUUUGGUCUUCAGUUCAACACUCUUGCUCUGUUCCCAAAUGGGGCGCUAUUUAGGGGAAUUUAAAGAGAAAGCUGAGAAGAAUAAACAUUUACCGAGUUCUCUUGGCAUUCAGUCUCUGAAAAACCACAGUAUAAACUAUUCAUGCUGCUUCUUACAUCUGUCAAAUCGAAAAUUAAAAGCCAUAAAAGUGUAACACUGAAAAUAUGGCAUCAAAAAGGAUAAAGGUGGCCUUUGUAAAAAUAACAAGAAAAGUAUAUUAGCCAAUAAAAUAUUCUAACUCUUCAUUUAAAAGUGCAUCCCGGGCAGGACAGAGAUGACUCUGAAGCGUUGGGCCUCCAGGACCACCCCUCUCCGCCAUCAAAACGUGAACAGUAUAGGUCCAAAACCAUACAAUGCAAAUCACAAUUCUUAGUGUAGCAGCAAAACCACAGCAGUUUUUAAAAAGAUUAAAAAAAGAUUUUUUGUGUUCCAAUCCAUAUCAUCUUCCAGCCUCAGCCGCUGAGCCUUGAAGACGGGGCGGGGAGAAUACCUACAUUGGUCCUUGUGGCUUGUUGGUAUUUCAUUUUUUUUAAAAGCCAGGGGUGAAAUCCCUAAGUUCCUCUGGGGAGAAGCAGAGAUGGUGGCAGCAGGAAGGCUGGGCCUGCUUGGUGGGUCCAAGACGCGCGGGCUUCUCUGGGCUAGAGGCCAUCGAGGGAGGGCUGCUUCCUCUGAGAUGCUUAAUGACAGGAAGCGGCUUUAUUUGCUUGAGUUUUAGCCAGAGGGGGUGGUGAGCUGACCAGCUGGUGUCAUUGGAUGGCGUGACAUGGUUUGCUCUGCGCCCUCUCUCCAUGAGCGUACCCUGUGAGUGAGCAUUCCUGGAAAAAGAGCAGAAGGGGCUGUCAGAAUCCACUGGACCGAUCCCCCUCCCUCCACCCAGCUGGGGAGAACCCAGGCAUGAGUCAGACAGCACCGCACUCUCCAGCCGCCAGGGCAGACCUAGGAUGAGCCCCAGAACCGCUGCAGCACAGCGUGAUUUCAACAGGAGUUUC
rnacentral:lncRNA from 1 species